rnacentral:rRNA from 1 species
UACGUAGGGUGCAAGCGUUGUCCGGAAUUAUUGGGCGUAAAGAGCUCGUAGGCGGUCUGUCGCGUCUGCUGUGAAAAUCCGGGGCUCAACCCCGGACUUGCGGUGGGUACGGGCAGACUAGAGUGUGGUAGGGGAGACUGGAAUUCCUGGUGUAGCGGUGAAAUGCGCAGAUAUCAGGAGGAACACCGAUGGCGAAGGCAGGUCUCUGGGCCACUACUGACGCUGAGAAGCGAAAGCGUGGGGAGCGAACAGG